CGUGCUUGAAAACAGAGGCUUCUCUGCAGUUCAGUUGGGGGAAAAGACGGACUAUACAGUAAGUAGUACUGAGAGAACUGAGUAUUCAUAGGAGAAUCAGAGAAAAUGAGAAUCCCAUCGCAAACCACAUGUAAAACUUAACUCUGGAUGCAUUCAGAAUAGUUGAUUACGUGUUGGCCAAUGAAAGUAGAUUCAAGGACAACCACAGGAGCAGAGGGAGAUGAUUUCUGGAGGAAGAAAGAGGCUGAACAGAAAGACACAGAAGAGGAAAGUGGAAAAACAAAACUUCUAGGCCCUCCUGCAAACAGGCAACACGGGGGGGGGAAAAAAUGAAGAAAAGACCGGCAACUCCACCUUUGUUUCUUCCCCAAACAAAAUGUAAAUCAAGAGAGAUCACAGGUGCACGAAUGAAAAGUUCUUUAAGUGAUGUGCCUUCCUGUUGCUUUUCUGAGCCUCACAGAAACACCGAAGGAGGAAGGAAGAACGUGAUUUGCACUGGCUUGUGGAAUUUAAUAUUCCCGUAAAGGUAAUUGUGUGGCUCUUGAUAAUUCAGCAGUUUAGACUCAUCAUGACAUUUCAUCUUCAAGGGCUAUUUCAAUCCCUCAAAUAGAUUUUUAUUCUACCACUCACACAUUCAAGGAUGAAAAAGGUACCUCACUGUAUUAAAUUAAAUUACCUUUAAAACUUGUA